UACGGAGGGGGCUAGCGUUGUUCGGAAUUACUGGGCGUAAAGCGUGCGCAGGCGGUUGUGCAAGACAGGUGUGAAAUCCCCGGGCUUAACCUGGGAACUGCAUUUGUGACUGCAUCGCUGGAGUGCGGCAGAGGGGGAUGGAAUUCCGCGUGUAGCAGUGAAAUGCGUAGAUAUGCGGAGGAACACCGAUGGCGAAGGCAAUCCCCUGGGCCUGCACUGACGCUCAUGCACGAAAGCGUGGGGAGCAAACAGG
rnacentral:rRNA from 1 species